rnacentral:rRNA from 1 species
GACGAACGCUGGCGGCGUGCUUAACACAUGCAAGUCGAACGGAAAGGCCCUGCUUUUGUGGGGUGCUCGAGUGGCGAACGGGUGAGUAACACGUGAGUAACCUGCCCUUGUCUUUGGGAUAACUUCAGGAAACUGGGGCUAAUACCGGAUAGGAUCUCCUGCCGCACGGUGUGGGUUGGAAAGUUUCGGCGGUUGGGGAUGGACUCGCGGCUUAUCAGCUUGUUGGUGGGGUAGUGGCUUACCAAGGCUUUGACGGGUAGCCGGCCUGAGAGGGUGACCGGCCACAUUGGGACUGAGAGACGGCCCAGUCUCCUACGGGAGGCAGCAGUGGGGAGUAUGGCACAAUGGGCGGAAGCGUGAUGCAGCAACGCUGCGUGCGGGAUGACGGGCUUCGGGUGGUAAACCGCUUUCGACUGUGACGAAGCGUGAGUGACGGUAAUGGGUAAAGAAGCAACGGCUAACUACGUG